CAGUCGCCACGGUAAUACGUAGGGUGCAAGCGUUAAUCGGAAUUACUGGGCGUAAAGCGUGCGCAGGCGGUUUUGUAUGACAGAGGUGAAAUCCCCGGGCUCAACCUGGGAACUGCCUUUGUGACUGCAAGGCUGGAGUGCGGCAGAGGGGGAUGGAAUUCCGCGUGUAGCAGUGAAAUGCGUAGAUAUGCGGAGGAACACCGAUGGCGAAGGCAGCCCCCUGGGCCAAUACUGACGCUCAUGCACGAAAGCGUGGGGAGCAAACAGGAUUAGAUACCCGGGUAGUCCCUGUCUCUUAUAC
rnacentral:rRNA from 1 species